rnacentral:lncRNA from 1 species
UUAACUUUAGUUACAAUUCUAAACGCCAGCACAAAAGACUUACUUUGUUAAGGAUAAAAAAAUAUAAUUGAUGCAAAUGUUUCUAAGCAAUUAAAAGUUGACUUUUCUAAAGAUACAUUAUUAUUGGACAAGGUGAAACGAAAUAUUCAUUUUAUUUUAUUUUACUAUAUAUAAGAUUGUCUAUAGACUACAAGGUGAAACCGAAAUACAAACAUUGCAUCAUCAAUCCUCAAACUGCCCAUCAAGACAGGCAAUUUCUAAGAGGAGAAUUAAAAACCCAAUAUGAAAGUGAACCAAGAAAAAAAUAAAAAGGCCAUAGAAGUGGAAUAAUAAAUGUUGACCAAGUUAGAUCAACGUUAACACAUCUCUUCUAAGUAGCCACACUAUGAAGCACAACAGUUUCAACUGUAAGCCCAGGCCCAAACCCAAAAAGCACUCCCCAUUCAAGCCCUUCUCCAGUGGUUUUAAGCCCUUCUUUAGCUGAUUUCUUCCUUACUUCAUCCAAAAUGAACAAAACACAAGCACUCGACAUGUUACCAUACUCGGACAAUAUAUGCCUUGUCGAUGCAAGCUUUUCGGGCUUAAGGCCCAACUUGGCCUCUACUUGGUCUAGAAUUGCAGGCCCACCUGGAUGCGCGAUCCAAAAUAGAGAAUUCCAAUCUGAUAUGCCCAAAGGCUUGAAGGCCUCAACUAAACUCUUCUCUAUAUUCUUUGAGAUAAGCCCAGGAACAUCCUUAAGGAGAUGAAAUGUAAGCCCCACUUCGCGAAGAUGUCCAUCUAUAGCCCCAUCACUAUCUGGUAGGAUAGUUUGGGCCGCGGAGACUAGCUCAAACAAUGGUUUCUCUAAUUCAGGCACUGGGUCUGAGCCCACUAUGACAGCGGCAGCACCAUCGCCGAAUAAAGCUUGGCCCACAAGGCUAUCAAGAUGGGUGUCACUAGGCCCACGAAAUGUCACCGCCGUAAUCUCAGAGCAGACGACAAGAACACGGGCACCUUUGUUGUUUUCGGCAAGGUCUUUGGCAAGACGGAGCACCGUGCCACCUGCGAAACAGCCUUGUUGAUACAUCAUAAGCCUCUUGACCGAUGGGCGAAGACCCAAGAGCUUAGUGAGCUGAUAAUCAGCCCCAGGCAUAUCUACACCGCUGGUUGUGCAAAAGACCAAAUGGGUAAUCUUCGACUUGGGCUGGCCCCAUUCUUUGAUGGCUUUAACGGCUGCUUCUUUGCCUAGUUUUGGUAUUUCCACCACCACUAUAUCUUGUCUAGCAUCCAAUGAAGGAGCCAUAUAUUCACAAAUAUUAGGAUUUUCUUUCAAGAUGUCCUCAGUCAAGUGCAUGUAACGCUUUUUUAUCAUAGAUUUGUCACCUGAAAGAGCAAAGCCAAAAUUAUGUAAAUAUUUAAACAUGAACAUUCUUUUUGUAUGUCAUAAUGUUAGCAAUGGGAGUGAGUUCUCAGAAUUUAAAUUUUACUGUUUCAGUGACUGCUGAAGUGUUGAUCUAAUCUAAUAAUAUUUUAACGUGUAUGAAUUUAACUUAAUCACAAAAUGCAAAAUAAUAUGUAUAUACGUAUUACUUACACAUGCGCUUGAACUUUUCUUUAAGUUCCACCUUGUGCUCGCUGUUGGUGAUGCGAAAAUAGUAGUCAGGGUACGUGCUUUGAUCGACGCAGUUGGAAGGAGUUGCAGUUCCGAUGGCCAAGACGGUGGCGGGGCCUUGUGCCCGCUGUGCCUUCCGAACUUCCUCUACGGUCACCAUUGUUUUUCUUUGUUUUCCUUCUUAAGUGUGUAAAAGAAAGGAGUAAUCGGAGGCUUAGACCGUAGGUGGUGGAUUCUGUGACACGAAAAAUGAUGGGGGCAAUAGAGGAGUUAUAUACAAGAGAGGGGUGGGUGUACGAGCGAAAGGUAGCUAAGUAUCACGUGCACACCCUAAUAACAAAGGUUCAACCACAUGAAACUAGACUAAUGGAGUGCCUGCUGGCACGUGACGAGGGGGUUUGGUAAGUUAAUAAGUGAUUUGAAGUCGUGUGUCGGUUCUUACUUACCACAAAGACAGCAGUACCUGUGGAAGAGUUUUUGGCAACUCAUGUGCAUGAUUGGAAGUUCACAAUAAAUGAGCGUGCCGCGGAGUUAGCAUAUCGGGAUUAAAUUUAGAGCACGUUGAUUGCGUUUUGAAAAUAAAAUGAGUGUGAAGAUAAAUGGAUAAUCUUUUUAGAUUUUAUUUUCUAAAUUAAUUAAACUAAAAUAUUUUUCAUUCGCAAAUAAACGUAAAUAAAUUGCAUUGAUACCUCAAUUUUCCGUUCAUAUUAUGAUUAUGAAUAUGAUAUAUUGGAAGUUAAAAAAAGUGACUGAUGAAUGAAAAUUGAAGGGUUUAUUAGGGUUAUUAAUUGAAUGUAAAUACUUAAGAUAUUAUUUUAAAAAAUAUAACAACUUAAUUAUAUAUUAUAUAUAUAUAUACACAUUUUAAAAAUAUUUUUGAAACGUGAAAUUAUAACUACUUAAUUUUAUGAAUUAGAGUUUAUGUAUAAGUUGAGUGAUUUAUUAUUAUACUCUUACUUAAAUUUGAAAUUUUAAAAAUUAUAUAUAUACACAUAUAAAUUGGAUUAUAUAAAUAUAAACAUAUUUUCAAAAUAUAAAUUUCUUAUUUUCAAUCUCAACUAAACAUGCUUUUUUUUUCAUGAUUUUAGAUUUGAUUGGAUAUUUGGCUAGGAUUGGUAAUAAAAUAAUUGAUGGCCGUACGUAAUACUAACAAGUGAAGGGCAUGGAUUGGCACGAAGCACACGACAAGGCUUGUGUGACCUACAUUGUGCCAUGUGUAAAUCGAAAUGGCAAAACUUCAAGUUAAUACAUAGCGACUUUUGAGCGCUGGCAUAAAGAUUACGUAUCACAAUAACUAUAUAUAUAUAUAUAUAUUUUUUUUUUUUGAAAAAAUGAUGGAAAUAAAUCUUCACAUAUCCUAAUCUUAUGCACUAAAAAUAUCAUUUAUGAAUAUAAAUUAAAUUACUAGGAAGAAAAUCUGAACAUAUCAGUUAGAAAAACUAGAAUGAUAAAAUUAUUAGGUCAAACAAUAUUAUCCUAUAACUAUGAUUUAGUUUUUCUUUCUCAAAUAAUUUAAAUUAUCAUUGAAGCGAGAUUUUGUUACUUUUAUAAAUAGAUUUAAAUAUAACUGUUUUCUUUUUAACAUGUGUUGCAUAUUUUUUGUGCUCGUUAUACGUAUUUAUUAUUUAAUUUUUUAUAUAUAAUUUCUGUUAAGUUUUUGUACAUUAAUAUUAAUAUUAUAUUAAAAAACUGUCAAAAGUAUAAUCAACAAUCUAUGAUAAUAUAGAGUUUUUAAAAUAAUAUAUUAAUGCAAUUUUAUUAUUAUUAUAAACUUAAUUUAGCAAUAGAAAUUACAGGGGGGCCAUGUUCAUUGUAAAUAAACAUAAUAAGUUUUGAGGGGCCAUAUAUAAUUUUUAAAAGAUAAUUAAAAAAUCAUGCCUAAUCAUAAUAAAUUAUACCUUUUGUGAAAUUUCAUUAAUUGUAUAAAAAAAAUAAAGUUUUAUUCAAUAAAUUACUCGGUUAAUUAAUUCUCUGUAAUUAAAGAGAUAAAAUUUAGUGAAAAUGUCUACAUAAAAUAAUACUUUAUGAAUGAAGUCAUAUAUUAAUUUUUAAUUAAUGCUUGAACUUCCUGUAAAAUAAACAUUUUAAAUAAAGUCAUAAAAUAAUUAUUUAUGAAUGAAGUCAUCAAUGACUAAAAUAUGAGGAAUAUUAACCAAAAAAAAAAGUAGUAGCUGUAAAAUAAGUAAUGUCACUGAAAAAGAACAACAUGGACCGCCUUUGAAAAGUUCAAUUUUUAUAUAUUAGUUCAGUUUUUUUUUUUUUUUUAAAAAAAAGAACUAAUUUGGUUUUUAAAAUUGACUCAAUUAAUUAAUUUAGAACAUUUUAUACUUUCAGUUCAACUUUUGGUACAAAAAAAAUCGAUGUAAGUUAAUUGAAUCGAAAUAACCAAAAUUACGUAAUUUUACUUUUAUAUUUUGUAAUUUUUAUUUAAAACUUAUUGAAUUUUCUAAAAAUUUUAUUUAUCAAAAAUCAAAUUGAAUUGAAAUGUUUCAAUUUUUAAUCUAAUCAGCCAAUUUUAAUUUGUUUCAUUUUGAAACUGAAAGUUAAACAUCCUAAAUAUAGAUCACUCUCUCCGUCCCAUUUUAUUUGCUUGUUAUUCCUUUUUUGGAUGUCAAAAAAUAUUUGUAAGAUUUCUAAAUUUAGACAUAUAAAAAAUUAUUUUUUUUCAUGAUAACUUUUAUGAUUCUUCAUUAAACGAGAGACUUUUAUUAAUAUUUUUAAUGAGUUAAAAAUAAAAAAGAGCAAAAUAGUUUUUACUGACUAAAUUCUUAAUAUUCGUAUUUUGUCAAACCAUGUAAACAAAAUGGGACGGUGAAAGUAUCAUUAUUAAUUAGUAGUUGGGAACCGGAACAUACUAUUAGUCAUUUAUCACAUUUUAAUUAUCUCUUCUAAUCCAUCACCUAACAGCUACUAGUAUCUAUUUAAUUAUCUACCUAGGCAGCUAGACAUAAUUGAAUCUUAACAGCUAAGAUAUCUCUUGGUAUUGAAACGAUAUUCAAAACGGGAUCCUCUUUCUAAAUAUUGCAUAAUCAAAUUUACCAUUUAGACCGGCCUUUUAUGCCACAAAACGCAAAUAGUGCUCUGGGCUUUUUGUUACCGAUAAAGCAUGGACUAAAGAGAUAUGGGCAACAAAACCUAAUCACUGAUGGGCCUUACUCAUAUUGAAUUUUGGCAGGGGUUAGGUUAGUCUAGAACCGGUUUGGGUUUUGGCUUCAAAAUCAUUAUGCUGAUAACAGAUUUCAUUAUAUCGUUGGAGUUGAAAUUAUAAAAUCUAAACGGAUUUAGUCAGUAGUUAAACUCAAAUUGUCAAAUGCACAGUUGCUAUUUAAAUUUAGCAUUUUAAUUAUAAUAACAUAUAACAAAAAAAUGUUUUUUUUAAACAAAUAACUGGACUGAAAAAAAAAACGAAAAAGAAAAUUAUAUAUAACCAUCUCCGCUCAACCAAUCAACUAUAAGUUUAUUUUUAAAUAUUUUUAAUGGCAAACAAAGAAAAGGUUUCUACAAUCAUUAGUUUGAAACGGUGACGCUAAAUUGUCUUUUGUGGCAAAAUUUAAAUUAAAAACCUUUAUUAAAAAAAAAAAAAAAGGAAAAGCGUCCAGAUCCUCUUUUGUAAAUUCCAUGAGAAAAAACAAAAAAGUCCAGUGGCUUGCUGGCAAUUUGACGUGCCACAGUCUCAUCUCCGAAAGCCACUUUCAUCAGUUUAGCUCAAAAUAAGCUUAAACGUCAUCUCUGUUAAUUGUCAUUACCUAAUGGCUAAUACUUAUCAGCACCAUAAAGGCAUCAACAUCUCCUCAGCUGUUGCCAUCGCCGCUACAAUGCAAAACUUCUGAUGUGCACUUUGGAUGCUUAUGGGUAUCGUGUUUAUGCUAACUCAAUAAGGCUAUAUUUUUGUAAUUAAGAUUCCAUUUGUUUUUAUAAAAUGACUUACAGAAAAAGAUUUUUCACAAUUGUCCGUUGUUUGAACACUCAAAAAAUAAGCCUGCGGGAAAUAUUUUCUUAGUUAAAGAAAAUUUAAGUCAUUUUUGAAGGAAAAUAACUUCUCAUUUUCUAAUAAGUAAAAACAUUUUGCGAAUAUUGACAAACCUUAUAAAUUCGUAUUUUUUAAUUUAUUAAUCAUCAUAAUUAUUAUCACCAGUCACUAUUUACCACCGGACACCAUCAUCGGCUACCGGCAGCUUUCAUAAUUUAUAUUUUUUUACAUUCUUUUCAUAUUUAACAAUAAAAUUUUUAAAUUAUAAAAUUUUAUUAUUAAUAAUAUUUUGUAUGAUCUUAUGAGAUAAAGACUUUAGUAUUUUUAACUAAUUUUCACUAUUGCAAGCAAACAAAGGAAAAUAAGUCAUUUGAAAAUAUUUCUCAGCAAGUUAUUUUCCUGCAAGUUAUUUUACGGAAACAAACGAAGUUUAAAUCACCACUAUAUCACUUAUAUGGCUUAAUAAAUAUAGCCUACGUGUUAUUGAUAAAAAUCAAUAUUAACUCAAUAUUAGUUUAUUUUAAAAAAAAAUAUGGAUGAAAUUGUUUAUAUUUGCAAAUCAUAAGGAUUUAACAGUAAUUUUCUCUUCUUCUUUUUUUUCAAAAAAUCAUGUCCAACAACCGUAGCAGAUAACGGAAUACAAUUGAGGAAAAUAAUAAUAAUAAUAAUAAUAAAAACACGUAUAAAACAUGUUACAAUUCUGCCACCAAUUUUUUCCCUUGUUUAAAAUAUCCCGUUGCAGAAAUUGCAUAAUUUUAUCCGAGUGUUGACGAACAACAUAUUUGCCCAAUCCAUUCGCGAUAACUACUUGGUUAACUCCCCGAUAAUAGUGUUUCAAAGUAUCAUUCCAUUCUCGAUUUACAGUGAGCAAUCAAGUUAAGAUUCUUUGUGCUAUCAUUACCAAUCUGCUUAGUCACUAAAUAAUUACAGUUUUAUCAUCAAAUUCAUUUUAUAAAAACUUAAAUCAUAAUGUAUCAAUAAUUUAUUUUAUUACCAAUAACUUUUCAACCAAUUUCAGUUUCAUUGUAAAAUAACUUUUGAUUUCUGAACACUCAGAAUUACAUUUUUAGUAACAAAUUACACAUUAAAAUCAAAUUGGAAUUGAUUUUAAUAAUUAAAAAUGAUGAUCGUACGAUUCAUUUCUAAUGCCUUCGUUAAUUAAACCAAAAUGAACUGAAUACACAGAGACCAAAAUCAAUAUAAAAUAAAAUUGAAACUAAUUUCUGGAAGUGAAAUUAAUGCUUUCCCUAUGGUAUUUUCAAGUUAGUUUAUGCUCAAUGUUAUUCUUAUCUAUUGCUGUAGAUAAAAGUAACAAAAAUCAAGUUGGUAUUUUCACUUAUAUAAAGAGUAAGAGAUCUCGAGUCGAGUUUUAUCGAUUACAAGUAUUUUCAUUAAUUUAGUGAGUUUACGGAAGGACUACCCCUAUUAUUGUGUAACCCGCAGUAUUAGCUCGGCCAAUCAGGUCUCGCAUUGAAUAAAAAUACAGUGACAGACAAAAUUAAAAACCACAAGAUUUAUGGGUGAGUAAUACUCUGUAUCUCAUUAUUGAUUCAUUUGGAUUAGAUUUAGAUAAUCACUUUAGAGAUUUGUUAUCCAUUAAUUUAGAUUAGAUUUAGAUAGUCAUUCUAGAGAUUUGUUAUCCAUCAGUUUUGAUAAAAAAAAAAAAAAAAACAUUGGGAUGCGUUUACUUAUAAAAAAUAGUUUCAUGUUUUUCAACUUUCUGUUUUUAAAAAAAAAAACAGUUUUCUUAAAAGAUGAAACUAAAAAAACACAAAAUGGAAAAUACGUUCACUUCAUAACAAUAAAAAAUUAUAUUUUAAUUUAACUUUAACAAAUAUUAUUCAUAAUCUUCAUAAUAUAAAAUAAAUUUAGAAAUUUUUAUGUAAAAAAUUUAAAGUUUUUAUUAUUGAUUAUUUAUAAUAAUAAUAUCAUUUUCUAUCAUUUUGUAAUUUUUUUAAAAACAAAGGAUAUAAUAAAAUUAAUUAUAUACUAACGCAUAAUAUAAAUUUUAUUUUAUUUAAAUAUUUUUAUUUUUUCAAAUGAAAAUAUUUUAUAGAAAUAAUUAUUUAUAAAUAUUAUAAUUUUAAUUAUGAAAAAUGUCAUUUUUUUUAAGUGGAAAGCAUGUCUUUUAUUAUAAAGGAAAAAAUCUGUAAAACAAUUUAAAAAACUGUUUUUUAAAUUUUAGUUAAAUUUUGGAAAAUUGUUUUUUAGUUUUCUAAAUAGAAAAUUGACUGAUUUGAAUACAAAAUUAUGUUUUCCAAUUUUCUUAGAAAACUGUUUUAGAAAAUCACUCAAGUUUUCUAUGAUUAAACACACCCUUAGUUUUCAUUUUUUGAUUGAAAUAACAAAACUCAAAAUUAAUCAGACCGAAUUAAAUGGAUUUUUAUAACACUUGGUUUAGGAUUUAAUUACUGUAAAAAUACAUUUAGUUAAAUUGAAACCAGUUAAUUCGGUUUGAUUUAGUUCGGUUAACCAAAACCCCUAGCCUCACUAACCAAAUCUCCCAUACAGUUUUCGUCACGUGCAAUUCGCGCACAGGUAGCGCCUCCAUUACCCUUCUAUUCUCAAACUCCAUUCACUACUCGGUUCUCUAUCGCUCGCUGCCUAGUUUUCCCAUUACUGCAUUACCAUCCUACGCGCCACCAUGCAAUCCACGUUCAUCUCACCACGCGCCGCCCCAAUAAAACCUGCAACUCCUUUCCAGGGCCCUCUCAUUCACUCCCACGCUAUACGCCCCUCCUCCCUCCGCGUCGUAGCACAAUCACCGGCUGCUGUAACCGCAGACCCUUCACUUGCAUCUAAUGUAGCUCAAAAAUUGAACAAGUAUAGUUCUCGCGUAACUGAGCCCAAAUCCCAAGGUGGGUCCCAAGCUAUACUUCAUGGAGUGGGUUUAUCAGAUGAAGACCUGAGUAAGCCUCAGAUAGGUAUCUCCUCGGUCUGGUACGAAGGAAACACUUGCAACAUGCACUUGCUGAGACUAUCAGAGGCUGUUAAGGAAGGAGUGAAAGAGGCAGGGAUGGUUGGGUUCAGGUUUAACACUAUUGGCGUAAGUGAUGCUAUUUCCAUGGGAACUAGGGGGAUGUGUUUUAGCUUGCAGAGUAGAGAUUUGAUUGCUGAUAGUAUUGAGACUGUCAUGAGUGCUCAAUGGUACGAUGGGAAUAUCUCCAUCCCUGGCUGCGAUAAGAAUGUAAGUUGUUUUUUUUUUUUUUUAAUAUCCAGAUGGGUUUCUGCUUCUGAUUUGUACUAACACGUUUGAUUGUAUUUAUGCAACAUUUUGGAACUCUGUUCAUUUUCGAGUUUAUUAUGGUGGCUUUAGGUGACUGUUGAAGGUUGAUUAUUGCUGAUGGUGUUGAAGCUGUUUUUAGUGCUUAUUGUUAUGAUCGAUAGACAUAUUGAAUGUUCUGUUGCGGACAUAGAGAAGGAUACAAUGUUAUUAUUCAUCUUAUGUUUGGGCAGCUCUGUUUGAUUAGCUAGCUCUUGGUGAUUUCGUUUUAUAAUUUAAGGAUAUUUUCCUCUUGCUAUAUUUCAUUGGUAGAAAUUACAUGUGAGAUUUAAGCUGUAUGUCUGUUAUUUGCUAGUUCAAGAAUAUGACUCAUAUUUUUUUUAACUUUUACUUGAAAAUCCUGUGGUUUCAUUUGAUGGAUUUUGAUGAGUUUGUGUGAAAUGUAUGGCAAUGUUUUGUAAUUAAAAGUUUUUCAAUCGUCUAGAUAUCUUCUGCUGGCUAACGUGCAAAUUGCACUUGUUUCUGAUUCUUGUAGAUGCCAGGUACAAUUAUGGCAAUGGGGAGGCUCAACCGACCUAGUAUUAUGGUUUAUGGUGGAACUAUAAAGGUGCGGAAUGCCAUUCUCUCCUCUCCCCCCUCACCCCCCACCUCAAGAAAUGAAAAAAAGAGGAUAAGGCAGUUGUAAUACAUUUCAAAUCACUUUAUAAAUAUAACUCGAUUAGAAACCCAAAAUUUUCAAUGUGGAUAAGAAAAAGCCUCAGAUAAGAGUCAAUUAUGUUUUUUAAUUUAUAUUGUUCUACAAUUUUUUCUGGUUACUUAUGUACAUCAACAUUUUCUCUUUUGCAGCCUGGUCAUUUUAAUGGCCAUACUUAUGAUAUAGUAUCCGCCUUUCAGGUUUGUGCACCAAUUUUCUAAUUUGUCUGAUACAUAUAGCAGACAUUCAUGGUGUGAUUAACCUUGUUGUCUUAUUCAAUCUUUAAUGAGGGUCCAGUGUCCAAUAGAUUAUUGCAACGUUUCAUGCAUUUGACUACUAGAAAACGUGGUCCAUAUGAUUCGUAUCUGGAGACAAAUUGUGCUUGGGAUGAGAAUCUAGCAGUGUUUCACAACAUUCCUGUGCAAGUGUGCAUGAUAAUCAUUAUGGCACUGGAUUAUGCCUGACAUGCUUGAGAUUGUACUUUACUUAACUUCAUGAUUGAUUUGUAAUUUUGAACUAAUUUCAAUCCUAGUUAUUUUGUUCUAGACUUUACCCUCCAGUAUUGGUGCAAAAUUAUGACGCUCUCAUCCUUUGUUAGUAAAAAAUGGGAAAGGCUGUGAAAAGGAUUUCAAACAGGGAAGUUUGACCAAAAAACAUCUUGUUUUUAGCUCCAACUAAAUGCUAGUUUAUACUUCGGGAAUUAGGUCAUUGCUUAUGCAGUAAUAAGAAGCUUAGAGCAAAUUGCAGACAUGUUUUAGAUUAGAAAUGGGGACUUUGUGUUCUUAAUUUUCCAUGUUUGUGGCUAAUUCUCUUCUCUUUAUACAAUUUAUAUCUUGUCAUAGGUUUAUGGAGAAUAUGUAAAUGGUUCUAUAAGUGACGAGGGCAGGAAAAAUGUAGUCCGGAACUCGUGCCCUGGGGCUGGGGCUUGUGGUGGAAUGUAUACAGCCAACACAAUGGCUUCUGCUAUUGAGGCCAUGGGAAUGUCUCUUCCUUACAGGUCUAUAUGCCCUUUUAGAAUCAUUCAGAUUGCCCUUUUCUUACAAUUUCUGAAUGUUUAUUUGUUUGUAACAUACAGCUCUUCAAUACCUGCUGAAAGUCCAUUGAAGUUGGAUGAGUGCCGUUUAGCAGGAAAAUAUCUUCUAGAAUUAUUGAAAAUGGACUUGAAACCACGAGAUAUAAUCACUCGUCAGUCACUACGUAAUGCCAUGGUGAUUGUCAUGGCAUUGGGUGGGUCCACCAAUGCUGUGUUACACUUAAUUGCAAUUGCCAGGUAACUAUGGUUUUCCCAUGUAUUCCAUCACUAUUAUUAAUUGCACAUAUGAAGGUCAUGAUAUCUUGGCAGGUCUGUUGGAUUGGAGUUAAAACUUGAUGAUUUCCAGAAGGUUAGCGAUGAGGUUCCAUUCCUUGCAGAUCUAAAGCCUAGUGGCAAAUAUGUUAUGGAGGAUGUGCAUAAGGUGAAUAUUUUUGUAAAUUAUUUUUGUAGUUAUUCUUUGUUAGAAAUUUAACACCUUGCUUCAUUUCUUCUGACAACUUGCAUUUAACUAAUGUUUGUUGACUCAAUCUCUUGGUCAUCCCUAACAAAUAAUUCUUUUGAUAGAUUGGAGGAACACCUGCAGUCCUUCGCUAUCUUUUGGAGCGUGGCUUUUUGGAUGGGGAUUGUUUGACAGGUAUGUAAUUUGGAAUUGUCUGAAUAUCUGUUUGAAUCAAUUGCAAGUAUGCAAUGCAAGGCUAACUUGAUUCAUUUCCUCUCUAGUGACUGGGAAGACAUUGGCUGAAAAUGUGCAAAAUUGCCCGCCUUUGUCUGAGGGGCAGGUGGGAUGUCAGUCUUUGUCUAUGUUCUUGUUGUUUGCUGUUGAAGCAACGCUGUAUUCUCCAUUUCCAGUGAAAAAAAUAAUUGCUUUCUUCUCGCUCAUUUAUCUUUUAGGACAUAAUAAGGUCACUGGAAAACCCCAUCAAGAAAACAGGUCACAUCCAGAUUCUACGUGGAAAUCUUGCUCCAGAGGGUUCUGUAGCAAAGAUCACUGGAAAAGAAGGACUAUAUUUCUCUGGUGCUGUUCUCUGUUUCAUGAUAUCUCAUGUCUUGCUGCUUUUCUUUUAUGCUAUCUUUUAGUCUAUUUUAAAGUCUGAUGUGAUGAUGGAACAAACACACUUCAGGUCCUGCACUUGUUUUUGAAGGAGAGGAAGCCAUGAUUAGAGCUAUAACAGAAAAUCCUAAGAAUUUUAAGGUAAGCAUAUCUGUCAUCAUAUUUGCAUCUUUACCCUUUAUAUCCUUAAAGUCCCCACUUCCUAUAUAGCCAUUUGAUAUUGAAAUUCAUGCUGAAAAUUUUGGAGGGCCUUAAAAAGAUUGGAACUUUGUUUGACUGACAGCACGCUUGUAAUUCUUCAGUCCUUCUUAUGUGAUAUUGAAGCAGCAAGUUGGAAAUUAACAGGGAAAGCUAUUGAUACUGCCGUCAUUUUGAUCACUUCUUUAGACACUUAAUACAGGGAAAGCUAUUGAAAAGUUGUGUUGGAGAUACCCAUAUAUGGCUUUCUGUUUGACAUGAACAGCUGAUUAUUGACUGUUCGUUGCUCUUGAUUGCUGCUUGCUAUCAUCUGGAUAUAUUUCAACUGUUCCAUAUUUCUAUAUCCACUUGUUUUUGGUGAGACAGGGUGGAUUGUUUGCUUUCUCUGCUCCUUCUAAAUUGGUCAUUGAUAUAACAAAUAUGCAUUUACAUCUUUACUUAAUUCAUUUUUCUGAUCAAUUAAAGGCAUAUCCAGGCUUACCCAUUGCAUCUCCUUUAGUAAGAGGCAUUGGCAUUCAUGUUUUAAACUCCGUCUAUCAAAUAUGCCAUCUCUUUUGUUUGUGGUAAAUAACCUGAAAAUCAAUGGAACUUUGAUUUUCAUAAGAAAUGCUUCACCUGUAAAUUUGCUUUCUGUAAAUGUGAUCCUUGUCUAAGAUAUCUCCGAACAUGUCUUUGUAUACUUUUCAUUGGAUUGUUAUCAAGUUUAUUGUUUCUGUGAUUACAGGAUUUUGUCGUGAAACCAUGAUAUCAAAUUUCAUUUAUUUGCAUAACAUCUCAGGGAAAAGUUGUAGUUAUUAGAGGAGAGGGGCCUAAGGGAGGACCGGGCAUGCCGGAGAUGCUAACACCAACAAGUGCAAUCAUGGGAGCUGGUCUUGGAAAGGUAUCACCAACCUGCUUUCCAAAGCUAAACAGACAUACAUUGUUGUAAUGUAAAUAUUUUGCAUAUAUACAUGCCAGGUGAUUCUAUUGUCGUUUUUAGUCUGCAGCCCAAUGCCUUUUUGCUUCAAUAUAAAAGCCUUCAGCAGUUCAGUGUGACAUUUUCAUUUAAUUUUUUCCAUUGAAAACUGCAGGAUUGUGCAUUGUUGACAGAUGGUAGAUUUUCAGGAGGUUCACAUGGAUUUGUUGUUGGUCAUGUAUGCCCAGAAGCACAGGUCCACUUCUUUUCCAUUACUUGGGUUGUAGUUUGUUGCUUAUUUGUGUUUUUAGGGUGUCAUAAGGAAUCUUUGCGUCAUUAUCUUCAGAUAUUUAAUGCGUUGGUUAAAAUAUAGAAAUCAAGUUUUUCAAAUGUUACUCAGAAAAUUCCUGCCUUCAUGGGCAUGAUCCAACUCUGUUGACCCUUUGUUGUUAAAUUUGCAAUAUUAAAAUAUAAUAAUCUUGUUGCUGUUGGCAAUGGUUUUCAACACAGUGUUGGUAUUGCAAGUUGCAACGAGCUUCGUAAACAUGCUUUUUCCUAUAUGCUGUUUACCUCUGAUGUUAUUAAUGCUGAAUUAUUUCAGGGAAAUAUUUUACCAGAAGGGUUUUGACAUUUCAUACAAAGCUUUCGAGUUCAACUGUGUGAUUGCAUAUGUAUAUGUGAACAGAUUUGAAAACAAUUCUGAAUAGUUCUUUGCUUGUUAUCUCCAGGAAGGUGGUCCAAUAGGUCUCCUUAGAAAUGGUGACACUAUCAAAAUUGAUGUCCAAGAGAGGAGAAUAGAUGUUGAGCUAACAGACAAGGAAAUGGAAGAGCGAAGAAAGAACUGGAGUCCUCCUCCUUACAAGGCUACUUGUGGAGUUCUAUACAAGGUAAGGAAGAA